rnacentral:snRNA from 1 species
GGAGGAAAAGAAACUAACAAGG